rnacentral:lncRNA from 1 species
UAGUUCCAGACUUGCUUGGGGAAACAUCCUCAAUCAAGCUUGCUGGGGAGUCCCUGAUCUCGACUAUGCUGGAGAAACAAGUCCCGAACUUGCUUCACCUGCUGGGGAACAUACCCAUCCUCUUACACUACUGGACAGUGCUGACAACAUCCCUGAACGAACCGUGGCUUUUCUGCUUCAGCCAAGAAUCAAAGGUAACAACCUGCAAAACA